rnacentral:rRNA from 1 species
UACGGAGGGUGCAAGCGUUAUCCGGAUUCACUGGGUUUAAAGGGUGCGUAGGCGGAUAGGUAAGUCCGUGGUGAAAUCCUGCAGCUUAACUGCAGAACUGCCAUGGAUACUAUUUAUCUUGAAUGUCGUGGAGGUUAGCAGAAUAUGUCAUGUAGCGGUGAAAUGCUUAGAUAUGUGGAGGAACACCGAUGGCGAAGGCAGCCCCCUGGGCUAACACUGACGCUCAUGCACGAAAGCGUGGGGAGCAAACAGG